rnacentral:rRNA from 1 species
GAUGAACGCUGGCGGCGUGCUUAACACAUGCAAGUCGAACGAAGCACUUUUAUUUGAUUUCUUCGGAAUGAAGAUUUUAGUGACUGAGUGGCGGACGGGUGAGUAACGCGUGGGUAACCUGCCUCAUACAGGGGGAUAACAGUUAGAAAUGACUGCUAAUACCGCAUAAGACCACAGUACCGCAUGGUACAGGGGUAAAAACUCCGGUGGUAUGAGAUGGACCCGCGUCUGAUUAGGUAGUUGGUGGGGUAACGGCCUACCAAGCCGACGAUCAGUAGCCGACCUGAGAGGGUGACCGGCCACAUUGGGACUGAGACACGGCCCAAACUCCUACGGGAGGCAGCAGUGGGGAAUAUUGCACAAUGGGGGAAACCCUGAUGCAGCGACGCCGCGUGAGCGAUGAAGUAUUUCGGUAUGUAAAGCUCUAUCAGCAGGGAAGAAAAUGACGGUACCUGACUAAGAAGCACCGGCUAAAUACGUGCCAGCCGCCGCCGUAA